GCAGGAGUGGCGGAAUGGCAGACGCGCUGGACUCAAAAUCCUGUGGGCUCUAAACCCGUGUGGGUUCGACUCCCACCUCCUGUACAA
rnacentral:tRNA from 1 species